AACCCUUCCUCUGUCAUCAUUGCGGGGCCACCUCCUCCUGGGGCUCCCUCCAGGCCCCCUUAUACCAGCCAGGGAGGCCAGGGACAGGCUGGACCCUGUGUCCCAGGGUCCUGCCAGAGAAGACAGGAAGAUGGGGUAUAGAGGAGGCAGAAGGGGCGGCCUGACCUGUUCCCUGCCUGGGCACAGAAUCCACUGCCCUCUCCAGGACCCCUGACCCAGCCAUCCAUCGAGCUGGCCCUUGGGGUGGAGUCUGAGGACCAGGACAGUGGGGUGGGGGUGUUCCGUGACUCUCAUGUCCCCAGUCUCUGGCCCUCCUGGCUGGAGUGGGGUGGCCCAAAG